ensembl:lncRNA
AGGACUGAACUGACUGGUUUGGAGACAGGCUGCCUGGGCGGCCCGAUUGGCUGCCUGGGUCACAUGGUGUGCUGAGUGUUGGCUGUGGAAAGCCCCGGUAGCAGCAGCCUGGCUUCCCGCCAGAGAUCACGAGCACCACAGCACCAACUGUACAAACUGCCACAACACCGGCCUCCAUCUUGUCUCCUGACGUCAAGAACCGCAAAAUGGCGGCUGUGGUCACUGCAAACGGUGUCUGAUUUAACGACGCUGUUAACAAGAAACUGGACUUGUUCCAGCGGUGUCCGGGUGUCAUCAUGAUAUGUCAUUAAUAGAGAAUAAAAAGGUGUGCGUGU